UACAGAGGUGGCAAGCGUUGUUCGGAAAUACUGGGCGUAAAGGGCGCGUAGGCGGCCUACUAAGUCAGACGUGAAAUCCCCCGGCUUAACCUGGGAACUGCGUCUGAUACUGGAAGGCUUGAGGAUGGGAGAGGGAUGUAGAAUUCCAGGUGUAGCGGUGAAAUGCGUAGAUAUCUGGAGGAAUACCGGUGGCGAAGGCGGCAUCCUGGACCAUUACUGACGCUGAGGCGCGAAAGCUAGGGGAGCAAACGGG
rnacentral:rRNA from 1 species